GAUGAACGCUGGCGGCGUGCCUAAUACAUGCAAGUCGAGCGAACAGACGAGGAGCUUGCUCCUCUGACGUUAGCGGCGGACGGGUGAGUAACACGUGGAUAACCUACCUAUAAGACUGGGAUAACUUCGGGAAACCGGAGCUAAUACCGGAUAAUAUAUUUAACCGCAUGGUUCAAUAGUGAAACACGGUUUUGCUGUCACUUAUAGAUGGAUCCGCGCCGCAUUAGCUAGUUGGUAAGGUAACGGCUUACCAAGGCAACGAUGCGUAGCCGACCUGAGAGGGUGAUCGGCCACACUGGAACUGAGACACGGUCCAGACUCCUACGGGAGGCAGCAGUAGGGAAUCUUCCGCAAUGGGCGAAAGCCUGACGGAGCAACGCCGCGUGAGUGAUGAAGGUCUUCGGAUCGUAAAACUCUGUUAUUAGGGAAGAACAAAUGUGUAAGUAACUAUGCACGUCUUGACGGUACCUAAUCAGAAAGCCACGGCUAACUACGUG
rnacentral:rRNA from 1 species